ensembl:lncRNA
AGACUCUCAUCCUAGGACUUCCCUGGUGGUCUAGUGAUUAAGACUCUGAGCUUCCACUGUAGGGGGCGUGGGUUCAAUCCCUGGUCGGGGAACUAAGAUCCCACGUGCCCCACAGUGUGACCAAAAAGCAAACAAACAAAAACCCCGAAAACAGGACUCUUGCCUCAUCUUGCCUACUAUCGCACACUGGUAUGUUACUUAUUACAUACUCAAAUUCGUUUGUUUAUUGUAUUUUUUUGUUUAUUGUAUUUGUUUAUUGUAUAUUCAUUGUACUCCAAUAUAUUUAAAAUAGAUAGCAUGGAUUUCUUACCUAUUUUGAUGAAAGCUUUGUCAUUUAUGCAAGUAAUAGCCAAGUGAUAGGAUCCCCAUAUUCCUAAUAAGACAGCCGUCCAUUUUGCUGGCACUGGGAACUCCUCAUGAGAAUAUGUCUUGUCUCCCCAAGUCAGGUUUAACUAUCCUGAAGGCCUGGAUCCCCUCUCUCGCACACACCUUCAUGUCCCCACAGCAUUUGUGAUAGACUUGGGCACAAACUGUUGACUGAUUUGGGAAGAGAAACUACGUUCAGAAGAGGCAGGGGGAAACCUAUGCCUGGAAGUGUGUGUGCGAAGCCAUCUGUGUGAAUACACAAGCAGACUUUGAGGCUGCCCUGAAGUAACUAGUAAGAAAUCUCUUGGUGAUGUCAGACUUUUCAUAGGACCAGUUCUCAUGAAGGAGCAUGUUAGAGAAAUGCUAGUGAAGGUCCAGCCACCGCUGUACUUCAGAUGCUGCUGAGACCUGGUAGACUGGUUCAUUCAUGACUGAAAAACGUAUAUAUCAUGGAUAUUGUAGGUUUUUCGGAUUGAAGGCAUUUUCUUAUAAGCUUCCCUGGUGUUAUUGCCUUAAAAAAUAGUAACUGAGUAACACUUCUUUCAUAGUUGUACUUUCAGAGAUUCCUCGUCACUCAAUCUUCAUGGCAGAAAUGCUUUCGUUAGGACCUGUAUUAGUCCCAGUAAGUCAGAUAUUAUCUUAAAUUAGAAUGCCCGAGGAGGAAAGAGGAAGUCCAAAUGUUUGUUCUCAUUUUAUCACCCCUGAGCUUUUGUGACUUGAUCUUACAUAUAACUUAUUUUGUUAUCCUCUGAAGUGGGAUUCUUCAGGAUUAAAGUUCCAAAGUUAGGGAACAUAUUUGAAAGUGAACAUACUCUAACAA